rnacentral:rRNA from 1 species
GACGAACGCUGGCGGCGUGCCUAAUACAUGCAAGUAGAACGCUGAAGGAGGAGCUUGCUUCUCUGGAUGAGUUGCGAACGGGUGAGUAACGCGUAGGUAACCUGCCUGGUAGCGGGGGAUAACUAUUGGAAACGAUAGCUAAUACCGCAUAAUAGCAGUUGUUGCAUGAUAACUGUUUGAAAGGUGCAAUUGCACCACUACCAGAUGGACCUGCGUUGUAUUAGCUAGUUGGUGGGGUAACGGCUCAACAAGGCGACGAUACAUAGCCGACCUGGGAGGGGGGUCGGCCACACUGGGACUGAGACACGGCCCAGACUCCUACGGGGGGCAGCAGUAGGGGAUCUUCGGCAAUGGACGGAAGUCUGAACGGGCAACGCCGCGUGAGUGAAGAAGGUUUUCGGAUCGUAAAGCUCUGUUGUAAGGGAAGAACGAGUGUGGGAGUGGAAAGUUCACACUGUGACGGUAUCUUACCAGAAAGGGACGGCUAACUACGUG